AUGCAGGGAACCCUGGAAGACUUUAAGGGAAGAGCUGUGCUCUUUGCCGACCAGACUGGAGCACUGGUAGUUGGAAGAGUUAUUGACUUUUUGUUUGCCUUAUCUGGACCUAGUUUUUUAUGCUUUGUACCUUGAAAACAAAAAAUUUCAGUCACUAGAUUGUGGUUUCUGUGUCAGUGUCUACUAAAAUUGGCACACGUAAAAAUUAAAGAAAAUGGUUACAUAAUUCAGUGGAAGUUCUUGGUCAUUAGAUGGUAGGCAUCUACUGUGUGUAGGACACAAGGCCAAUAAUAAUAACACACAACAAUGUUGACCUGUUAAGUAUUCUCUGAAACAUGGCCAAAAUGCAUUUUAUUAUGAGCUUAUAUUAUUUUUUCUGUUGUAAAUAUCAGUGCUUUACAGUGUGCUUUAGUGCGUAUUUCUUAGAAAUUCAAGCAGUGAGAAAUAAGACCCCUCUGAGUUUAGUAACUCUGUUUCUAAACUGAUAACAGAAUGUUACUUGGUGAAAGUCUGGAAUAGGUGGUGCACAUGAGCAGUGCUUCGUGAAUGCAUUUCUUAGUUUUAUAAUGCACCAUGUUUCUCAAAGUUUGUUUUUAAUAAAACGUUUUUUUAAUAUGUCCUAUGUUUAUUACUUUUUCUUCCUCAACUGAGUUAUGUACUGCACUGUAAGUUGAAGAUUAGAGCCAUCCAUUAUUUAUCUUCUGUGGCAAUGCAUUUAUAUGGUUAGUUGUGUGGGGAAUUUUUUUGCAGAAGAUGCAAAGUGAUUGGAUUUUUGACUUCCUAUUGCAGAGACCUUUUUUUAAUAUUAAUUUCCUGAACAUUUUUCCAAUUCCCAUGCAGACUGUUCCUGUUUACAUAUCUUCUCUGUUGCAUUAGUACUUUGAUUCUAGUGAGAAGACAGUUUACUUAAAACUUGAGAGUGCUGUGCAGCAUAGCCUAUUGUUUUUGCUUCUCAAAUCUGUAUAGUACACUGGUUUGUAAUCCUCAUCUUUGUUGAAAUCUGAGUUUCUUUGCCAUUUCUCUUCCUCUUCAAUGAAAUAUGUUGUAUUUAUAUAUUCUUAAGAAAAAAGAGCAAGGAAGGGUAUCUUCGUUAUCCUCAUUUUCUUUGAGUUGGAAACAAAAAAAAAUGAAGGACUCCAACUAGAAGAUAGACAUUUACAUUUAAAUAGACUAGUGGGAAAAGUCUGAGUUUCCAAGUAUUAGUUUUUGUUUUUAGAAUCAGUUAAGAGACUGCUCCUUGUACUAGGAGAUACUAGUAUAUGUUUGUAAUGUUACCUUAAAAUUAUCUUUAUUUUAUAAGGCCUGUAAAUAUUGGUUAAACUCUUUUAUAAGUCGGGCUUCUAUCAUGAUGGUUGCACUGCCAUCUGCCAUGCUGAUAUAUUAUAAAUGGCAUCCCCAUCUACUUACUGUAAUGCUUAAAAUUUUAUAUAAAAUGCUUUAUUUAGAAAACUUACAUUGGUGUCAGCCUUGCCAUGUACCAAUUUCACUUGAAAUUUGACACUGACUAAGGUGAUUUAGGGUGGAGAAAGAGGUACUGGAAAGCAAACAGAUAAGGGUAUCUUAUUUGCAGCAGUAUGCUUUAUGUGGGAGGAAAAGUUACUAUUCAAAGGAAGGCAGCUUAAGUGGAUAAUGUUUUGUAUAUCAUUGAGAAUUUUCUUUGACAUUUUUAAAAAUUGUGUAAUUGUUAAAUGCCCAGUUUUGCUCUGUGUUUGCCUGAAGUUUUAGUAUUUGUUUUCUAGGUGGACUUCAAAAAACCAAACCAGUACUUGGGGAGGUUAGAUGUGUGUGUUUUCAAGCUUGGAGUGUAUGAGUGGUUUUGCUUGCUUUUUGGUUGUUUUCCUCCAGAGGUUUUGAACUUUAAUCAAUAAUUGUGUGUGUUAUUAAAAAAAAGAAGUGAUUUUGUUUUUUUUCUCAAGUAAAAUUGUGAACACAUUUGCUUUUCAAUGGCAGGGCAUGAGUUAUGGAGACUGAAGAGUAUUGUAGAGUGUACUAUGUGCCUUCUUAAUGUGUUUCUGGACACAAAUUUUGUUUUUUUCCAUCAACUUGAAAACUCAAAAGGGACAUUUGGUUAGGUUAUAUACCGUAUAUCAAUCUAUGCAUAAAUGGCAGCUUGUUUUCUUGAGCCACUGUCUAAAUUUUUUUGUUUUUAUAGAAAUUUUUUAUACUGAUUGGUUCAUAGAUGGUCAGUUUUGUACAGAUUGAACAAUACAGCACUUUGCCAAAAAUAAGUGUAGCAUUGCUUAAACAUUGUGUGUUAACACCCAUUCUUUGUAAUUGGGUUCAGUGGUGCCUUUUGCACUACCUGGAGUUACGGUUUUUAAUCUGUCAGUAAAUAAAAUGUCCUUUAACUUCA